AGGACGAACGCUGGCGGCGUGCUUAACACAUGCAAGUCGAACGGUGAACCCCUUCGGGGGGGAUCAGUGGCGAACGGGUGAGUAACACGUGAGCAACCUGCCCCUGACUCUGGGAUAACCCCGGGAAACCGGAGCUAAUACCGGAUAUGACACCUUCGGGCAUCCGAUGGGUGUGGAAAGUAUUUAUCGGUUGGGGAUGGGCUCGCGGCCUAUCAGCUUGUUGGUGGGUAAUGGCCUACCAAGGCGACGACGGGUA
rnacentral:rRNA from 1 species